rnacentral:tRNA from 1 species
GAGGGUAUAGCUCAGGGUUAGAUUGUGUGCUUAGCAUGCACAAGGUCCUGGGUUCAAUCCCCAGGCCUUCC